rnacentral:rRNA from 1 species
GACGAACGCUGGCUACAGGCUUAACACAUGCAAGUCGAGGGGAAACGAUAGAGAAAGCUUGCUUUUUCUAGGCGUCGACCGGCGCACGGGUGAGUAACGCGUAUCCAACCUGCCCAUCACUUGGGGAUAACCUUGCGAAAGUAAGACUAAUACCCAAUGAUAUCUCUAGAAGACAUCUGAAAGAGAUUAAAGAUUUAUCGGUGAUGGAUGGGGAUGCGUCUGAUUAGCUUGUUGGCGGGGUAACGGCCCACCAAGGCGACGAUCAGUAGGGGUUCUGAGAGGAAGGUCCCCCACAUUGGAACUGAGACACGGUCCAAACUCCUACGGGAGGCAGCAGUGAGGAAUAUUGGUCAAUGGACGAGAGUCUGAACCAGCCAAGUAGCGUGCAGGAUGACGGCCCUAUGGGUUGUAAACUGCUUUUAUAAGGGAAUAAAGUGAGUCUCGUGAGACUUUUUGCAUGUACCUUAUGAAUAAGGACCGGCUAAUUCCGUGCCAGCCGCCGCAGUAA